rnacentral:rRNA from 1 species
CAGGCUACGGCUCGCCUGCCACCGCUAUGCCGAGACAUAGGUAGAGACUCGGGAUGGGGUAAGAGAAGGGCGUGGGUGGAGCGGCGUACGGGGGUGGGGAGGGUUAGAGCUGGACCUAGCGGCCAAGCCAGAAGUGGUGUCUCUCUUGCUCCCCCUCUCUCCGCUACCCUACCCUUGACCGUAGGUACCCAGCCUCACUCGGCGCUUCGUGUAGAGACGCCUCCAGCUCUACGGGCCUAGCAACGGUAAGAAAGAUAUGAGUUUGCGUGGUUUUUUUUUUUUCUUUAGUACCGCUGCCACCGUAGCCCACGAUGACGGAUGCUCAUACAGGUAUAGUAGGUCCGCCUCUUAGAGUGGCCCUUACAAGGCAGGUAAGAGAUGUCCGCUAUCCCGAGAGGGCUAGAGCAGGACCUCCUUGUUGCGACAAGUGGUGAAGACCAGUCCAACAGCCGACGUCUGGACAAGUUGGUCACAGAAGCCUACGAUAACAGGUUCUGUCGGAGGUGCGAAGACGGGAUGUAUGUCUGAUAGGUACAGACAGGGAUCUAUACGCCCCUCCUCGUUCGUCCUCCCGUUCCUCCUCGUGUGGAGAUAGUACGUGUGCUAGUAAAACCCUCGUGGUUUGUACGUCACGAACUACGAAUAUAUACAUUUUCAUUGUAUCCUUUUAGGAGAGAUUUCGAUUGUACCAAAAGUGUCAUAUUACAAGUCAAAACGCAAUUCGUGAAUUCUAUGUGAAGGGGGAGGUAAGGGAGGGACGUGGUAGCGACGGCGAGUCGUCUGCCUCUACGGCGCAAGACGCCACGGCCGCUUGAGGGUGUGCUAAGUAGGACCUGUCAAGCCGUUGUCCAUCGUCGUCGAGUAGACGCUGCAGUGGUUCCUGUCAUUCUUGGGCGACACACCGGAAGGGGUUGCUCAGCCAGUAGGAGACGGGUCGAUAAUACUUUGUAAAGAACUCCAGAUGAAAGUUUGGUCAAUAAUUGUUCUGGUAGAGUCCUUGUAUUAUGUUCUUACAGCUUACUUUGUCUGUACAAUGAUAAGUACCUACCUUAUACAGAAGUUAAAGUAGUUCAAGUAGGGACUCGAAUAUAUCUCGUUUUAAAUACAUUAUACGUUUACAUUUAAACUAAAGUAAAAUGGUCUAUUUGAGCAGAACCAACUUAAAUGAUUAGACCAGUCAAUCGAUUAAUAGAACAGUACACUACGCGUUCUACUUCCGAACAUGUAAUAAAGACUUUUAUAUUCAUUAGAUAAGUA